UUGUCUUCGGACAUUUUAUCCUUAACACCUGUGAACUAUUGUAAUUUUUUGCUUUGGUCCUUCGGGGCCAGAGGAUUUAAUCAAAACCUUUUAUUAUUAACCUGAGUCUGAAAAUUGAAAAAUUGAAUUAUUCAAAACUUUCAACAACGGAUCUCUUGGUUCUCGCAUCGAUGAAGAACGCAGCGAACUGCGAUAAGUAAUGUGAAUUGCAGAAUUUUGUGAAUCAUCGAAUCUUUGAACGCACAUUGCGCCUUUUGGUAUUCCAAAAGGCAUACCUGUUUGAGAGUCAUUUCUUCCUCAAUCCUCGGAUUGGUGUUGACUCGAGCGUUGCGAAACGCUGAGUCGAAAAGAAUUGGCAGGCAGGAAUUCAGUGCUUUACAGUGUCUUAGGUUUUACCAACUACGCUGGCCUAGUAACUGUUUUCUGAGCUGGCCUUUAUAACAGUUCUUUUAAAAGUUUGACCUCAAAUCAGGCAAGACUACCCGCUGAACUUAAGCAUAUCAAUAAGCGGAGGAAAAGAAACCAACCGGGAUUGCCCUAGUAACGGCGAGCGAAGCGGCAAAAGUCCAAAUUUGAAAUCUGGCGUCCUACGGGCGUCCGAGUUGUAAUUUGAAGAUGGUAACUUUGGGUUUGGCUCUUGCAUAAGUUCCUUGGAACAGGACGUCAUAGAGGGUGAGAAUCCCGUUCAUGGUAAGAUGCCCAUUCCUUUGUAAAGUGCCUUCGAAGAGUCGAGUUGUUUGGGAAUGCAGCUCUAAGUGGGUGGUAAAUUCCAUCUAAGACUAAAUAUUGGCGAGAGACCGAUAGCGAACAAGUACAGUGAUGGAAAGAUGAAAAGAACUUUGAAAAGAGAGUGAAAAAGUACGUGAAAUUGUUGAAAGGGAAGGGCUUGAAGUCAGACUUGGUAUUCAGUGAUCAACUGUCUUUCGGGACUGUGCACUCGCUGUUUACUGGGCCAACAUCGGUUUUGGCGGCGAGAUAAAUGCAUUGGAACGUGGCUCUAUCUUCGGAUGGAGUGUUAUAGCCUUUGUAAAUAUCGCCUGCUGGGACCGAGGACUGCGCAUCUGCUAGGAUGUUGGCGUAAUGAC
rnacentral:misc_RNA from 1 species